GACGAACGCUGGCGGCGCGCUUAACACAUGCCAGUCGAACGGAAAGGCCUGCUUUCCCUUGUGGAUUGCGGGUACUUGAGUGGCGAACGGGUGAGUAACACGUGAGUGAUCUGCCCCCAACUUGGGUAUAAGCCUGGGAAACUGGGUCUAAUUCCCGAUAGGACUGCAGGGUGGUGCCUGUGGUGGAAAACGAUUUUCUAGUGGUUGGGGAUGAGCUCGCGGCCUAUCAGCUUGUUGGUGGGGUAAUGGCCUACCAAGGCGGCGACGGGUAGCCGGCCUGGGAGGGUGGACGGCCACAUUGGGACUGAGAUACGGCCCAGACUCCUACGGGAGGCAGCAGUGGGGAAUAUUGCACAAUGGGCGGAAGCCUGAUGCAGCGACGCCGCGUGGGGGAUGACGGCCUUCGGGUUGUAAACUCCUUUCGACCGCGAGGAAGCCACCUGGUUGGAAGGGUGGUGACGGUAGUGGUAGAAGAAGCACCGGCUAACUACGUG
rnacentral:rRNA from 1 species